CUAGCCGUAAACGUUGGAUACUAGGUAUUGGGGGAGGAGAGUCUUCCAGUGCCGAAGCAAACGCGUUAAGUAUCCCGCCUGGGGACUACGGCCGCAAGGUUAAAACUCAAAGGAAUUGACGGGGGCCCGCACAAGCAGCGGAGCGUGUGGUUUAAUUCGAUGCAACACGAAGAACCUUACCUGGGCUUGACGAGCAGGUAGUAGGGGACCGAAAGGCGACCGAUCCUUCGGGGAGCCUGCACAGGUGC
rnacentral:rRNA from 1 species